CCAGCAGCCGCGGUAAUUCCAGCUCCAAUAGCGUAUAUUAAAGUUGUUGCAGUUAAAAAGCUCGUAGUUGAAGUUCUGGCUGUUCAGGUCCUCAGCCAUUUAGGCGGGGAUUCUGACAGUCAUCCGCUUGCAAGCAUAUGUUCGGCCUUAAACAGCUGGCUAUGUGAGUAAGCAAUUUACCUUGAGAAAAACAGAGUGUUCCAGGCAGGUUUGUCCGGGAUGCGUUAGCAUGGAAUAAUAGAACAUGACUGAAGUCUAUUUAUUGGUUUAAGGCUUUAGUAAUGAUUAAUAGGAACAGUCGGGGGCAUUCGUACUCAGCAGUCAGAGGUGAAAUUCUAAGAUUUGCUGAAGACGAACUAAUGCGAAAGCAUUUGCCAAGGAUGUUUUCAUUAAUCAAGAACGAAAGU
rnacentral:rRNA from 1 species